GGGGGUGUAGCUCAGUUGGUUAGAGCGCCUGCCUGUCACGCAGGAGGUCGCCGGUUCGACCCCGGUCACUCCCGCCA
rnacentral:tRNA from 1 species